rnacentral:rRNA from 1 species
AUUGAACGCUGGCGGCAUGCCUUACACAUGCAAGUCGAACGGCAGCACGGGAGCAAUCCUGGUGGCGAGUGGCGAACGGGUGAGUAAUAUAUCGGAACGUGCCCAGUCGUGGGGGAUAACGUAGCGAAAGCUACGCUAAUACCGCAUACGAUCUAUGGAUGAAAGCGGGGGAUCGCAAGACCUCGCGCGAUUGGAGCGGCCGAUAUCAGAUUAGGUAGUUGGUGAGGUAAAGGCUCACCAAGCCGACGAUCUGUAGCUGGUCUGAGAGGACGACCAGCCACACUGGGACUGAGACACGGCCCAGACUCCUACGGGAGGCAGCAGUGGGGAAUUUUGGGACAAUGGGCGCAAGCCUGAUCCAGCAAUGCCGCGUGCAGGAUGAAGGCCUUCGGUUGU